rnacentral:rRNA from 1 species
UACGUAGGGUGCUAGCGUUGUUCGGAUUCAUUGGGCGUAAAGGGUGCGUAGGUGGCGCCAUAAGUCAGGUGUGAAAUCUCGGGGCUCAACCUCGAAACUGCACUUGAUACUGUGGUGCUUGAGUACUGGAGAGGAGAUUGGAAUUUACGGUGUAGCAGUGAAAUGCGUAGAUAUCAGGAGGAACACCGAUGGCGAAGGCAGGUCUCUGGGCAUUAACUGACGCUGAGGAGCGAAAGCAUGGGGAGCGAACAGG